AGCAGAAAUGUGCAAAAAUCUGAAUUUCUCCUAAGAGUACCCAGGAUAUUCAUGGGCACCUACCUGUCAAAUGCAUCACCGGGAAGCCCAGGGCGAUGGCGAGAUGGCCGUGAGAGUUUCCUGCAGCAUUUAACCUGAUUCAGCAUGUGAAUUUCUGCAGAAGCACACUUGGAUCUUGAUUGAAGAUGUAUUAAACCUAUGGAUCAAUUCAGAAAACAGGACUGCCAUCAUUUUCUCAGAACAAAAUAACUAAUUUUCUGCGUGAAAUGCUCCUGAGUAAGGGGAAGACUAACAGUUGUCAAGUGCAAAUAUAUUUACAUUUAUUCCUCAAAUGUGUACCAAGAGCUACCUGUCAUCUGUGAGAGACCAGGAGGGGCCACAAGCACAGGAGUUAGGAUCUGGGAUUACGACUUUGUUAUAACAGAGCCUGAAAUCCUCCCCACCCCGACUUCCAAAGAUCUCAGAAAGGUAUUAGAAGUCUUUUAAGAACAUGCCUGUCAACUGUGUAGUAACACAUCUCCAGAUUUAAGUCUUAAAGAGAAUGUAAUUGUGCAUUUCACGGGAC